CAGAGACCUGGACCUGAAGAGACCGAUCUACCAGAAGACGGCUUCAUACGGACACUUUGGCAGGAAGGACUUUCCCUGGGAGGUCCCAAAGAACUUAAACUUCUAGAAGAUCCAGUGCAGCAGCGUCUCGUCACACUGAAACUGUUUGACUGAACGACCAAAUGUUAAAGGAGCGCCGCCAUGUUUAUGUCAGUACAACAUUUAUAACGUCUUCAUUUCUGAUACGGUCAGUAUUUCUGUUAUGAUUCAUACUGGUGUCUGCAGCUUUUUACUUUUACUGGAUGAUAGGAAGCCUUUAAAGAUUUUUAAAAUGAAAGAUA